CUACGGGUCGCACCAGUGAGGAAUAUUGCACAAUGGAGGAAACUCUGAUGCAGCAACGCCGCGUGGAGGAUGACGCAUUUCGGUGUGUAAACUCCUUUUAUGAGUCAAGAAAAUGACGGUAGCUCAUGAAUAAGCACCGGCUAACUCCGUGCCAGCAGCCGCGGUAAUACGGAGGGUGCAAGCGUUACUCGGAAUCACUGGGCGUAAAGGACGCGUAGGCGGGAUAUCAAGUCAGGUGUGAAAUCCUACAGCUUAACUGUAGAACUGCACUUGAAACUGGUAACCUAGAGGAUGGGAGGGGGAGAUGGAAUUAGUGGUGUAGGGGUAAAAUCCGUAGAUAUCACUAGGAAUACCUAAAGCGAAGGCGAUCUCCUGGAACAUAACUGACGCUAAGGCGUGAAAGCGUGGGGAGCAAACAGGAUUAGAUACCCGAGUAGUC
rnacentral:rRNA from 1 species